AACGAGGAGAGAGUAGGAAAUGCUUAUUGAAUUACAGCGAUUAAAGCCGUUCCCAACAGCGAUGCGCAGUCAAUUGAAGCGAUUGAAUUAAUUAAUUGCCACUGGCCCCCGGCGGUCGACAUGGGUUAAACCGAUAAUUGAACAACGACGCCGGCUCGAGUGGGCCCUAUAAACAAAUGGGGAGCAACCCCAAGCUCCAAGCUGCUUCUCAAGUUCGGAGUGGACGGCAAUCGGACGCCGCGCUUCUCCACUGAAUCAUCAUCCAAACAUUCGGACAAUUCUAUAUAUACUCGAUACUCUCUUUGGCAUCGGGAAAGAGUAUGAACACCAUUCCACUCAAGAGCCCAUUAAUUACGCGUGUGUGUGAAGAAUUCGCUCUUGAUCUCAGAUACUUUUAGCCGACAUAACCUCAAUCGGAAUGGGAGUGGGAAGUGGAAGUCGGUUGGCCAGAGAGCAGUUAACUAAGGGAGCAACCAAGAUUAAGCCAAGUCGCAGUGGGAGUUGGAGUUUGGCUCGAUUGUAAACGCUACGUGCAGCUAUGCUCAGAAUUUAGCUCACUAGUUAACGAAUUUUCAGGAGGAAUCAAAGUAGUUAUACGCCAGUCCACUACAGUUACAGUCAAAAUUGUAGUUCUAUAGCUACUGCAGCUACACUGUUUACAAAAGCGGAAACACAUAUGAGAGAUAUGCACCCUACAUUGUAUUGAAUAUAAAUCUUAAAUUGAAGUGCCUAUAUUUGACAUCUCAGGUUAAACGAAAAUCGAAUUCAUUAAAAAGAAUACCUUAGUUCAACUUCAAAAUAAAA